rnacentral:rRNA from 1 species
AAUAGAUACCCGGGUAGUCCAUGCUGUAAACGAUGAGAACUAGAUGUUAGGGGGCAUGACCUCUUAGUAUCGAAGCUAACGCGAUAAGUUCUCCGCCUGGGGAGUACGGCCGCAAGGUUAAAACUCAAAGAAAUUGACGGGGGCCCGCACAAGCGGUGGAGCAUGUGGUUUAAUUCGAUGCAACGCGAAGAACCUUACCUACCUUUGAAUCCACGGAACCUAGCAGAGAUGUUGGGGUGCCUUCGGGAACCGUGAGACAGGUGCUGCAUGGCUGUCGUCAGCUCGUGUCGUGAGAUGUUGGGUUAAGUCCCGUAACGAGCGCAACCCUUGUCCUUAGUUGCCAUCAGGUUAUGCUGGGGCACUUUAAGGAGACUGCCGGUGAUAAACCGGAGGAAGGUGGGGAUGACGUCAAGUCCUCAUGGCCCUUACAGGUAGGGCUACACACGUGCUACAAUGGGCAGUACAGAGGGAAGCCAACCCGCGAGGGGGAGCGAAUCUCAUAAAGCUGUUCGUAGUCCGGAUUGGAGUCUGCAACUCGACU